UACGUAGGGUGCAAGCGUUGUCCGGAAUUAUUGGGCGUAAAGAGCUCGUAGGCGGUCAGUCGCGUCUGCUGUGAAAACUCGGGGCUUAACUCCGGGCCUGCAGUGGGUACGGGCUGACUAGAGUGCGGUAGGGGAGAGUGGAAUUCCUGGUGUAGCGGUGAAAUGCGCAGAUAUCAGGAGGAACACCGGUGGCGAAGGCGGGUCUCUGGGCCGUAACUGACGCUGAGGAGCGAAAGCGUGGGGAGCAAACAGG
rnacentral:rRNA from 1 species